rnacentral:rRNA from 1 species
CAUGCAAGUCGAACGGAAUUUACAUGAAGCCUAGCGAUUGUAAAUUUAGUGGCGGACGGGUGAGUAACGCGUGGGUAACCUGCCUUGUACUGGGGGACAACAGUUGGAAACGACUGCUAAUACCGCAUAAGCGCACAGCUUCGCAUGAAGCAGUGUGAAAAACUCCGGUGGUACAAGAUGGACCCGCGUCUGAUUAGCUGGUUGGUGAGGUAACGGCCCACCAAGGCGACGAUCAGUAGCCGGCCUGAGAGGGUGAACGGCCACAUUGGGACUGAGACACGGCCCAAACUCCUACGGGAGGCAGCAGUGGGGAAUAUUGCACAAUGGGGGAAACCCUGAUGCAGCAACGCCGCGUGAGUGAAGAAGUAUUUCGGUAUGUAAAGCUCUAUCAGCAGGAAAGAAAAUGACGGUACCUGACUAAGAAGCCCCGGCUAACUACGUGCCAGCAGCCGCGGUAAUACGUAGGGGGCAAGCGUUAUCCGGAUUUACUGGGUGUAAAGGGAGCGUAGACGGUUUUGCAAGUCUGAAGUGAAAGCCCGGGGCUUAACCCCGGGACUGCUUUGGAAACUGUAGGACUAGAGUGCAGGAGAGGUAAGUGGAAUUCCUAGUGUAGCGGUGAAAUGCGUAGAUAUUAGGAGGAACACCAGUGGCGAAGGCGGCUUACUGGACUGUAACUGACGUUGAGGCUCGAAAGCGUGGGGAGCAAACAGGAUUAGAUACCCUGGUAGUCCACGCCGUAAGCGAUGAUUACUAGGUGUUGGUGGGUACGACCCAUCGGUGCCGCAGCAAACGCAAUAAGUAAUCCACCUGGGG